rnacentral:rRNA from 1 species
CAGGCUUAACACAUGCAAGUCGAGGGGCAGCAUGGUCUUAGCUUGCUAAGGCCGAUGGCGACCGGCGCACGGGUGAGUAACACGUAUCCAACCUGCCGUCUACUCUUGGACAGCCUUCUGAAAGGAAGAUUAAUACAAGAUGGCAUCAUGAGUCCGCAUGUUCACAUGAUUAAAGGUAUUCCGGUAGACGAUGGGGAUGCGUUCCAUUAGAUAGUAGGCGGGGUAACGGCCCACCUAGUCUUCGAUGGAUAGGGGUUCUGAGAGGAAGGUCCCCCACAUUGGAACUGAGACACGGUCCAAACUCCUACGGGAGGCAGCAGUGAGGAAUAUUGGUCAAUGGGCGAGAGCCUGAACCAGCCAAGUAGCGUGAAGGAUGACUGCCCUAUGGGUUGUAAACUUCUUUUAUAAAGGAAUAAAGUCGGGUAUGGAUACCCGUUUGCAUGUACUUUAUGAAUAAGGAUCGGCUAACUCCGUGCCAGCAGCCGCGGUAAUACGGAGGAUCCGAGCGUUAUCCGGAUUUAUUGGGUUUAAAGGGAGCGUAGAUGGAUGUUUAAGUCAGUUGUGAAAGUUUGCGGCUCAACCGUAAAAUUGCAGUUGAUACUGGAUAUCUUGAGUGCAGUUGAGGCAGGCGGAAUUCGUGGUGUAGCGGUGAAAUGCUUAGAUAUCACGAAGAACUCCGAUUGCGAAGGCAGCCUGCUAAGCUGCAACUGACAUUGAGGCCCGAAAGUGUGGGUAUCAAACAGGAUUAGAUACCCUGGUAGUCCACACGGUAAACGAUGAAUACUCGCUGUUUGCGAUAUACUGCAAGCGGCCAAGCGAAAGCGUUAAGUAUUCCACCUGGGGAGUACGCCGGCAACGGUGAAACUCAAAGGAAUUGACGGGGGCCCGCACAAGCGGAGGAACAUGUGGUUUAAUUCGAUGAUACGCGAGGAACCUUACCCGGGCUUAAAUUGCAGAUGAAUUACGGUGAAAGCCGUAAGCCGCAAGGCAUCUGUGAAGGUGCUGCAUGGUUGUCGUCAGCUCGUGCCGUGAGGUGUCGGCUUAAGUGCCAUAACGAGCGCAACCCUUGUUGUCAGUUACUAACAGGUUCCGCUGAGGACUCUGACAAGACUGCCAUCGUAAGAUGUGAGGAAGGUGGGGAUGACGUCAAAUCAGCACGGCCCUUACGUCCGGGGCUACACACGUGUUACAAUGGGGGGUACAGAGGGCCGCUACCACGCGAGUGGAUGCCAAUCCCCAAAACCUCUCUCAGUUCGGACUGGAGUCUGCAACCCGACUCCACGAAGCUGGAUUCGCUAGUAAUCGCGCAUCAGCCACGGCGCGGUGAAUACGUUCCCGGGCCUUGUACACACCGCCCGUCAAGCCAUGGGAGCCGGGGGUACCUGAAGCGCGUAACCGCGAGGAGCGCCCUAGGGUAAAACUGGUGACUGGGGC